AUUGAACGCUGGCGGCAUGCCUUACACAUGCAAGUCGAACGGCAGCGCGGACUUCGGUCUGGCGGCGAGUGGCGAACGGGUGAGUAAUACAUCGGAACGUACCCUGUUGUGGGGGAUAACUAGUCGAAAGAUUAGCUAAUACCGCAUACGACCUGAGGGUGAAAGUGGGGGACCGCGAGGCCUCACGCAGCAGGAGCGGCCGAUGUCUGAUUAGCUAGUUGGUGGGGUAAAGGCCCACCAAGGCGACGAUCAGUAGCUGGUCUGAGAGGACGAUCAGCCACACUGGGACUGGGACACGGCCCAGACUCCUACGGGAGGCAGCAGUGGGGAAUUUUGGACAAUGGGGGCAACCCUGAUCCAGCAAUGCCGCGUGUGUGAAGAAGGCCUUCGGGUUGUAAAGCACUUUUGUCCGGAAAGAAAUCGCGCUGGUUAAUACCUGGCGUGGAUGACGGUACCGGAAGAGUAAGCACCGGCUAACUACGUGCCAGCAGCCGCGGUAA
rnacentral:rRNA from 1 species